rnacentral:lncRNA from 1 species
GUUCCUAGAAAAUCUAAGUAAUCUAAGAAAUGGCACACUUUCUUUUUCUCUCCUUUCUUUGUUGCAGUAUAUAUUCAGAAUCUUUCAUGCAUCAUAUAUAAUAUUUCUUUUUUCAAUUGCACCUGGCAUAUUAAAGCAGAAGAUCCUGCAGAUGUCCAGUAUUUUUUUUCAUACAGACACACAGAAAAAUAUUUUGAGUGCCAGCAAUAUAUAAGAAAUGCAAGAAAUAAAAAUAUUGGAUGCCACAUGAAAGAUAUAUCUUUCCAACCAGUAAGGAAAAUAAUUUUAAACAUAUCUGUAGUAGAUCUGAGAAAUAAUUCAAGAAGACUGUCUUAUUAUAAAGGUUUUACACCUCAGAAAAUAGAGAAACUGAACCCACCGAUCAACGUCUCUGUUUCCCUUGAAAACAGAAGUAUUAAAAUUCACUGGAAACCCCCGCCUACCAUUGGUUCAGGAGAAAAAAAGUGCUUUAAGUAUCAAGUGAAAAUAACAGACAGUAAGAUUGUAGAUGUCACUGAAGAGAAAUACGAGUAUCUUCUUCUUAGACCAGCAAAAAAAUGUACUGCACAAGUGAGGGCCAAGAAAGAGGUAUGCAUAACAAACAAGAUUUGGAGUGAUUGGAGUGAACCAGUGAUUAUUUAUGACGUUACAGCUGUGAAGGGGUGA